rnacentral:tRNA from 1 species
UCCCCUAUAGCUCAAUCGGUAGAGCGGGCGGCUGUUAACCGCCAGGUUGCUGGUUCAAGUCCAGCUGGGGGAG